UGAGUGGGGCGGAUGAUCGCUGUUCAAAAAAUUUUGAAUGGAGGAAAGUCCGGGCUCCAUCGGACACGAUGACGGAUAACAUCCGCCGGUCGAAAGGUCAGGGAAAGUGCAACAGAAAAUAUACCGCCGAAAAAAAAAUUUUUUCGGUAAGGGUGAAAUGGCGAGGUAAAAGCUCACCACGAUUCGGGUAACCGAAUCGGUAAGGCAAACCCCAUCGGGAGCAAGGUCAAAUAAGAAUUCAGGUCGUCCGAGCCGAUUAUAUUCGGGUAGACCGCUUGAGGAUUUUUGGUAACUUAAAUUCCAGAUAAAUGAUCAUCAAUUCGAUCCAUAUUCAUUUAUUGAUCAAAUUACAGAACCCGGCUUACAGCCCCACUCACCCA
rnacentral:RNase_P_RNA from 1 species